UAAAAACCCCGACUUCGGAAGGGGUGUAUUUAUUAGAUACAAAACCAAUGCCCUUCGGGGCUCUUUGGUGAUCCAUGAUAACUAUACGAAUCGCACGGCCUUGCGCCGGCGAUGGUUCAUUCAAAUUUCUUCCCUAUCAACUUUCGAUGUUUGGGUAUUGGCCAAACAUGGUUGCAACGGGUAACGGAGGGUUAGGGCUCGACCCCGGAGAAGGAGCCUGAGAAACGGCUACUACAUCCAAGGAAGGCAGCGGGCGCGCAAAUUACCCAAUCCCGACUCGGGGAGGUAGUGACAAUAAAUACUGAUACAGGGCCCUUUCGGGCCUUGUAAUUGGAAUGAGUACAAUUUAAAUCCCUUAACGAGGAACAAUUGGAGGGCAAGUCUGGUGCCAGCAGCCGCGGUAAUUCCAGCUCCAAUAGCGUAUAUUAAAGUUGUUGUGGUUAAAAAGCUCGUAGUUGAACCUUGGGCCUGGCUGGCCGGUCCGCCUCACCGCGUGCACUGGUCCGGCCGGGCCUUUCCCUCUGUGGAACCCCAUACCCUUCACUGGGCGUGGCGGGGAAACAGGACAUUUACUUU
rnacentral:rRNA from 1 species